rnacentral:rRNA from 1 species
CCUACGGGCGGCAGCAGUGAGGAACAUUGGUCAAUGGACGAGAGUCUGAACCAGCCAAGUAGCGUGAAGGAUGACUGCCCUAUGGGUUGUAAACUUCUUUUAUAUGGGAAUAAAAUGUUCCACGUGUGGGAUUUUGUAUGUACCAUAUGAAUAAGGAUCGGCUAACUCCGUGCCAGCAGCCGCGGUAAUACGGAGGAUCCGAGCGUUAUCCGGAUUUAUUGGGUUUAAAGGGAGCGUAGGUGGAUUGUUAAGUCAGUUGUGAAAGUUUGCGGCUCAACCGUAAAAUUGCAGUUGAAACUGGCAGUCUUGAGUACAGUAGAGGUGGGCGGAAUUCGUGGUGUAGCGGUGAAAUGCUUAGAUAUCACGAAGAACUCCGAUUGCGAAGGCAGUUCACUGGACUGCAACUGACACUGAGGCUCGAAAGUGUGGGUAUCAAACAGGAUUAGAUACCCCUGUAGUC